CCCUUAGAUGUCCUGGGCCGCACGCGUGCUGCACUGACGCUUGCAACGAGUACAUCCCAUCUCCGAAAGGUAGAUGGAAAUCAGAAAUAAGCGUCGUGAUGGGGAUAGAUCUUUGGAAUUAUGGAUCUUGAACGAGGAAUGCCUAGUAAGCGUAGGUCAUUAGCCUACGCUGAUUAAGUCCCUGCCCUUUGUACACACCGCCCGUCGCUCCUACCGAUUUCGAGUGGUCCGGUGAAUCUUUCGGACUGCGGAGGUCUUGAAUCAACGCGGAAAGUCAGAUAAAUCAUACUACUUAGAGGAAGGAGAAGUCGUAACA
rnacentral:rRNA from 1 species